rnacentral:pre_miRNA from 1 species
AUUAUACUCCCUCCGUCCCAAAAUAAGUGUCUCAACUUUGUACUAAGUUUAGUACAAAAUUGUACUAAGGUUAAGACACUUAUUUUGGGACGGAGGGAGUAUAUU